GCCUGGGUGGCUCAGUUGGUUAAGUGUCUGACUUCAGCUCAGGUCACGAUCUCGCGGUCCGUGAGUUCGAGCCCCGCGUCAGGCU
rnacentral:tRNA from 1 species